ACUGGAAUAAGUUGAACCGAAAAGCAAUGCAUAACUGCAGCAUACAAAGAUUAGCAAAGCCAUACAUAUACAUAAGAAACCAGAUGUGAUUAUAUGGUCUUAAAGUAAUAUCGGGCAGCGACAGCUGAAGAUAGUUGGGCAACAAUAAUGAACGUACUUGUACCUUUGCAGGAAAGUAGAAGUGCAGUACUCCGGCCUGUUAUUUGUCGCUUAAGAAACCCCUUCAGCAUAUCUUCCUGGUUUGAACACAUGAACAGCUUUGCUUACAUCAAAGGAUUCUGAUAAAGACUACUUCUUAACUUCCAAUAACAUCCUUCUUAACUUCUCUCGCAACACUAACCGAGAGUCACGCGAGACUCUGUCCAACAAGAAAAAGGGACACGCCAUGAGACUAAUUAAAUUCUAUAUAAAAACCAUGUUUGCCUGUGUUUAGAUUAUACCUCCCCGGCCAAUCUCCGAGGACCCUCUUGUUUGCAUCAAGAGUGAUGUUCACAAACUCCUGAAAAAUGACAUGUUUUUCUUCAGAGGAUCCGGCUGCAGUACUAGAAAAUGAUAUUCAACAUAAGAGGAACUUAGUGCAGCUUAUAACAAUCACAUUACUGCAAAAAUUGGAGUAAUCUUCUGAUUAAACUAGAAAGACAGCUUAAACUAGAACCAAAGCUCACAUUAAACUAGAAAGAUAGCUGACAUAAUGUUUGCGUUUAG
rnacentral:lncRNA from 1 species